UAUAAUUUAGUAUAAGAUGUACAUAAGUUUUUGAUACUUAGAGAGAUAGAAUAGGUCUAUUAAUUAUAA
rnacentral:tRNA from 1 species